rnacentral:tRNA from 1 species
AUUUAAAUAGCUUAUAUAAGAGUAUAAUAUUGAAGAUAUUAAGGAGAUUAUUAAAAAUCUUUAAAUA